rnacentral:rRNA from 1 species
CCUACGGGAGGCAGCAGUGAGGAAUAUUGGUCAAUGGCCGGAAGGCUGAACCAGCCAAGCCGCGUGAAGGACGAAGGUGCCAAGCAUUGUAAACUUCUUUUGUCAAGGGAUAAAAUCAGGUUUGUGUGCCUGACCGUGGGUACUUGAAGAAAAAGCAUCGGCUAACUCCGUGCCAGCAGCCGCGGUAAUACGGAGGAUGCGAGCGUUAUCCGGAUUUAUUGGGUUUAAAGGGUGCGUAGGCGGACUGUUAAGUCAGCGGUAAAAGCCCGGGGCUCAACCCCGGCUAGCCGUUGAUACUGGCUGUCUUGAGAUGUCGAGAGGUAGGCGGAAUGCGCAGUGUAGCGGUGAAAUGCUUAGAUAUUGCGAAGAACUCCGAUUGCGAAGGCAGCAUACCGGCGGCGAUCUGACGCUGAGGCACGAAAGCGUGGGUAUCGAACAGGAUUAGAUACCCCUGUAGUC